AACGAACGCUGGCGGCAUGCCUAACACAUGCAAGUCGAACGAGACCUUCGGGUCUAGUGGCGCACGGGUGCGUAACGCGUGGGAACCUGCCCUUAGGUUCGGAAUAACUCCCCGAAAGGGGUGCUAAUACCGGAUAAUGUCUUCGGACCAAAGGUUUAUCGCCUUUGGAUGGGCCCGCGUUGGAUUAGCUAGUUGGUAGGGUAAAAGCCUACCAAGGCGACGAUCCAUAGCUGGUCUGAGAGGAUGAUCAGCCACACUGGGACUGAGACACGGCCCAGACUCCUACGGGAGGCAGCAGUGGGGAAUAUUGGACAAUGGGCGAAAGCCUGAUCCAGCAAUGCCGCGUGAGUGAUGUAGGCCUUAGGGUUGUAAAGCUCUUUUACCCGGGAUGAUAAUGACAGUACCGGGAGAAUAAGCUCCGGCUAACUCCGUG
rnacentral:rRNA from 1 species